GUGUAUUAAAGUUCCAACACUAUGAUGACGUCACGGCCUCCAUCUUCCCCGCGGUCAGUUGAGGGUGGCGACACAGCGCUGUAUUUUUCUUGUUUUUUUAGGUUAUUAUAAAGUGCCCGGAAGCGCCAUGGUGUAGGAAGGAUGAUGCAAGUGAAGGCCACGAGAGAGAAGUGGAGAGAGGACCAGGGAAUGAAUGAUCCAAUGUCUUGCUGCCCCACUCACUGAGACAAGAGACAAGAGAAGGAAGAGGAAGAAAAAGAUGAUGAUGAAGAGGAAGAGGAGGAUGACUUUGAAGACCAGCAGACAGGCAGACAGACAGACAUUGACACUACCAAACGAAGAAGAGGAGGAGGAGGAGGAAGAAGAAGACGAGGAACACAGGAGGAACCCAUUGAGUGUGCGGUGUCCCUUGAGCAGACCGAGAGGUCCGUUCAAUUCUGCCAAGGGAAGGAAGUCGUGUUAGUCGACUCUGAUGACUUGUACUUUUCUCUGCAAGGGACUGUUCUGUAAGCCAGUCACAGAAGAUGUGAACUGUAUCUGUACUAUGAAGUCAUAAAUAAAGUUAAGGACCACA